rnacentral:lncRNA from 1 species
AUAUCUAUCCACGUAUUUGUCUACACUACAUGUCACCCUGAUCUGUAACUUUUAGUUUGCCUUGCGCAAGAUGACCUGAACACCAUAUCGUGGCUGGAGGGUGAUGACAUUAGAAGGAGCAUGCGCAUAAGAUGGAGAGAGCUCGAAGGUGAACUGCUGAAGAAUCAUGGCGAGCGCCAUCUUUGCCUCUAUCAACGCGAAGUUUUGGCCGAUGCAUAUACGAGGGCCCCAUCCGAAUGGAAAAAACGAGACUUGGUUUUUGGUGGCCUUGGACACUCCCUCGGCAAACCUCUCUGGCUUGAACUCCUCGGCAUCCUCGCCCCAAAGUUCUUUAUCAUGGUGGAUGAGGAGUGUCGGCAUUAAGAGCUGGACUUCCGGGGGGAUGGUCAGCUUCCCUAGUUUUGUUUCCUUAGGAACCUUCCGCGUCAUCUCAGUCACCGGUGGAUAUAGCCUCAACACCUCAUUUAAGAUCAUUGUGACCUGAUUGCGACAAAUCCUCAGAAGAAUUCAUAUGAUAGAGAUGCACAUGUAGGAGCAUCUAUGAACGAUCACGAUGCUGGAAUGAUAUCAAUAUCCUCAAAGAGAUGGAAAUAUAUUGUAAUUUAUCCAGAAAAAGGGGCUUGAAGCUAUUGUCCAAAAAAUCAGGUUCUUGUGUCGAGAGGAAAUCCUAGUUCAAUUCAAGUAUGCAAAGAAAUUGUCCUGUCACUUCAUUGUCGUGUUCAUCUUCAUAGGAUAACAUUAUAUUUAAACAAACAUUUCAUCUACUAAGGAUCGGAAAAUCGCAUCCAGUAAUUAUAGAAUGAUUAUCAUGUGUCAUGUGAUAAAAGAUGCUCGUGAAGAACUCUCUAGAUCGGACCUAUUAUGAGUCCCAUUCUCAACAAAAGAGGAAAAGAGCAUUGAACUUACAAUCUUGAGGUGGCUUAAGCCGUCAGGGUCAGGUUUCCCGCUUCCGAAGAUUUGGAGGACCUCCUCCCUAGCUCGUGCUUGCCAAUCCGAGUGCACACUCAACAAGACCAUGGUCCAAACCAGCAAGACCGAAGUGGUCUCUUGUCCGGCGAAGUAGAAAAGCCUGCACUCCUCCAUCACAUCGUGAAGGCUCAUCCCGACAUUCUCCUUCAUGUUUGACUCCAGCAACAGCCCCAGCAGAUCAUCGCCAGCAGCUUCCCCUUCCCUUAUUGCUUUCUCUCUUCUGCGGAUGAUGUCCAUGAGCAGAGCCCGCACUUCCUUAUCUAUGCUCUUCAUCCUCCUGUUCAUCUUAGUUGGCACAAACCUGCGAAACAUUGAAUCAAAUAGUUGGAUUUUUUUAAGAAUGUCAUGAUUGUAAGCCAUAAGCUCAUUUAGAUUCAAUUAGCUUAUGGAUGAUGAACGAUUUUACCUCCAACCAGGGAUGUAGACCGAUUGAAGGGCUAUUAUCGUGAGCUGGGCUUGUUCCCCCUGAAGUUCGGAGAUCCUUUUGCCUUCUUCGAAGCUACUGCCAAACGCUGUUCGAGAGAUCACCUCACGGGUCAAAUUUUGAAGGUCGACCCACGCGUCGAUCUCACAGGAUCUCUCUACCGAUACCAAUUUUUCCCAUCUACCAACCAUCUCAGUGCAACUUGAAUAAAAUGCGGGCAACAUAAGCUGCAAAAGCAACAGACCAAUGCAAAGGAGGAAUUAAAAGAGAAAUCCUGAGGCAUCAAUGUUGACCAGGGAAUAGUUUCAUGUACCUUCAACUUCUCCAUGUGGAAUGCUGGAUUGAUGAUCUUUCUGUGCCGUGCCCAUUUCUCGCCCUCGUGAUCAAAGAGUCCAUUCGUGAGCAACUUCACUAGGGGAUUGGAGCCUGGCCUGGGAUAGUCGUUUAUCUUGGAGAAGAUCUCCUUUAGUUGUUCGGGGUUCGUUAUGCGCACUCUCGGUGUUGGUCCUAUCCACAUGAACGAGUCUUUGCCUGCAAUGCACUUGGUAAGAGCCACGAAGCCAAAUGAAAUACACGGUCUGCUGUUUUUUAGGAUUGCUUGUAAAUGGGUGACUUAAUUCAUAUUGACGAGGGGAAAAGAUGGUUAUAAUAAUUAUCAUGGCCGGCACUAACGUGAACUACCUUUUAGCCUUUUUAUAUGGUAUAGUCAACGUUGAAGUGAAUAAUAUUUGCAAUUUUCAUUAUUUUUCCUUUUUUUUUUCUUUCCUUUUUCUUUGUUCUGUUUUUCACUUAUUUCCCUUCACUGGUCUAGGGCCUUGGUGGCGGCUGGCAGAGAUCACUAACCACAUGUGAGGGCCAAACACCGUUGCCUAGAGUUGGCGAGGGCAUGGCAAUAGUUAAAAAAAUAAAAAAAGGAAAAAAAGAAUAAAUUUCAGAAAAUUUAUUAUAAAUUGUAAAAUUAUUCGGAUCAAUGUCAGACAUGCCAUAUGAGAAGGUUGGCAUCCACAUCUACAAUUUUUUGUCAAAAUUGUUUGAAAUGAUUAUAUUAGCAAAUUUUCAAAAGGCAUAGGAUUAAUUUGGCAAAAUUGAAAAAUUUAUGACUAAAAGGCAUUCUUAUAAUAUAUUUGUGAUCGUUUUGCUUUUUCGGUAAUUAUCCCCAGAAAUCUAUGCUGUGUUGUGCUUCUAUAUAUACGUGUGUGUGGCAAUGUAAUUAGUAAUUACUGUCUAAAUGUCACACGACAUGGUCACAUGUAAGUUUUAUUUAAUGUCGCUUUCAUAUGGUAAGACGUCCUUAUUGUGUGCAUAUCAAAAUAAGAAAUUGUAUAAAGGAAUUGAGAUGCAUUAACAUCUUUGGUCGCAAAAACACAAAACGGGGAAGUAUGAAUUUCCGAGAUAAAGAAUAGUAUUAUUCAAAUGUUCUGAAACUCCAUCAGAAACAGCGUCGACCAAAGGACCAAACCAAGCAAGUGUUAAUUUAUAAGAAAGUAUAAGUGCCACACAGAGUGAUACUAUGAAGAAGUGCAUACCAUAGGUUUGGGAGGAUUGAUGCAAGAAAGGCAAGAGACGAGGCUUGAUGUCGUCGGAGACGGCGAUGGGCUUGGAGUUGGCCUCUGUGAGCAACCGCGAGUUCUCCUUGAGGUCACCGAACAGGAAGGUGUAGGGUUUGCCGGAGAGGCCCUGCUGUCUCAGGAGCCUCUCGAGCCUUUUCGGCCUCAGCCACACCCAGUUCACCACCCUCCAUGCCCAUGUGGUCAGAACGGCCAGAACCGUUGCUAGCGCAAUUGACUGGAUCGAUGCCUCCAUCUUUUCUUCUGCGUGUUCGUAUCUAUUUGUCUGUAUGCUGUGAGAGAGAGACUCCAAUCGUUUGAUGUUGGGCAAAGGCGAUUGUGUGGUGUCGUGUUUAUGCGAUUGUGUGGUGUCGUGUUUAUAUAGCCGUAGCACCUUCCAAGGAUUGGAAAUCAGAUAAAGAAAGAAGUAACAAUUUUCUUUCUUGGACUUUUUCUAUGGGACGUGCAAAGCAAGACAAAAGAAUAAGAAAAAGAAAAGAAUCCCUGCCCCUCGAAAAAGGAAAUGAGGCCGUGGGCCCAGAGUCAAAGUUGUUGACUCUGGCACACCUAUGAUGAUAAUAGGAAUUCUCCGUUUGGCGUGAAGCUGCUGCAGCCUCACAAGAGUUGCCGAAGCCCUGUGCACGUAGAAGAAAGGAAAAAAAUCUCUCCGCACGUGGAGCCGGAAAAAAGAGCUGGUGGGCCCAGGUCAAAUAUUUGACCUUUGGGCACACGAAUGUCCCCUUUAGCGUACGUGAAGCAGCUUAAAAUCGUACGAAAGAAAAGAAGCCGCACACAUCAAGUUGCAGAGAGCCGUGCGCGUUUUUUCUGUUUCGAACUUGAAUCGUGAGUUAAUUUUAUGCCGUGGUUUUAUGUUUAAAUGAGCGGUUUAUUUAUAGGAAAAGUUUCAAAUAAGAAUUCAAAGUGAGUCUACUUUCUCAAAUAAAGAUUCGAAGUGAUUAUUAUUUCAAAUAAAAACCCAAAAUGGCUAACAAGUCUCAAAUAAGGACCUGAACCUAUUGACCAACCAAAAUGUUCACUGGCUAGAGAGCUUGCAACAUUUCCAAUGGCCAGAAUAUGGAAAAUUUUGUCAAAAAAAAUAUAGAUAGAAAUUAACAAACUCUAAAAUCAACUAUUUGAUUGACUUUUUCUAAAAGGUUGAUUUUUGGAUUAAAUCUUUGAAAUUUUUUAAAAUUAACAUGGCUAGUGUGAAAUUAGACUCAUUUAUAAUCUCUAUAUGUUAAAAGCUAACUUUUGAUUCGGGAUUGACAAAAAAAAAUUAAUAUAAAAAUCAUCCAGAUCAGCAUCUGAAAAGAAAUAAAUGGGUUUAUUAUAGCACUAGGAAAAAGCAUAGCUUAUCUUCUACUGGGGUUUUCUGAAAGGAAGAUUCAGAUACAUCCAGCGUCUUGCUGUUAUUAAACUAAAAUAACCGGUCACUUAGUUAAGAGGCCAUUUGAUUACGUUUACAACCACUAAACUUCUAUUCUUAAACAACAACGUACAAACUUCGAAAAUGGUGUAGUGCGACAUUAUAUCUAUCCACGUAUUUGUCUACACUACAUGUCACCCUGAUCUCUAACUUUUAGUUUGCCUUGCGCAAGAUGACCUGAACACCAUAUCGUGGCUGGAGGGUGAUGACAUUAGAAGGAGCAUGCGCAUAAGAUGGAGAGAGCUCGAAGGUGAACUGCUGAAGAAUCAUGGCGAGCGCCAUCUUUGCCUCUAUCAACGCGAAGUUUUGGCCGAUGCAUAUACGAGGGCCCCAUCCGAACGGAAAAAAGGAGACUUGGUUUUUGGUGGCCUUGGACACUCCCUCGGCAAACCUCUCUGGC